GCUCUUCAAAUCGAGUGGCGAACGGGUGAGUAACGCGUGAGGAACCUGCCUCAAAGAGGGGGACAACAGUUGGAAACGACUGCUAAUACCGCAUAAGCCCACGGCUCGGCAUCGAGCAGAGGGAAAAGGAGCAAUCCGCUUUGAGAUGGCCUCGCGUCCGAUUAGCUAGUUGGUGAGGUAAUGGCCCACCAAGGCGACGAUCGGUAGCCGGACUGAGAAGUUGAACGGCCACAUUGGGACUGAGACACGGCCCAGACUCCUACGGGAGGCAGCAGUGGGGAAUAUUGCACAAUGGGGGAAACCCUGAUGCAGCGACGCCGCGUGGAGGAAGAAGGUCUUCGGAUUGUAAACUCCUGUUGUUGAGGAAGAUAAUGACGGUACUCAACAAGGAAGUGACGGCUAACUACGUGCCAGCAGCCGCGGUAAAACGUAGGUCACAAGCGUUGUCCGGAAUUACUGGGUGUAAAGGGAGCGCAGGCGGGAGAACAAGUUGGAAGUGAAAUCCAUGGGCUCAACCCAUGAACUGCUUUCAAAACUGUUUUUCUUGAGUAGUGCAGAGGUAGGCGGAAUUCCCGGUGUAGCGGUGGAAUGCGUAGAUAUCGGGAGGAACACCAGUGGCGAAGGCGGCCUGCUGGGCACCAACUGACG
rnacentral:rRNA from 1 species